rnacentral:rRNA from 1 species
GACGAACGCUGGCGGCGCGCCUAACACAUGCAAGUUGAACGAGCGAGAGAGAGCUUGCUUUCUCGAGCGAGCGGCGGACGGGUGAGUAACACGUGGGUAACCUGCCCAAGAGACUGGGAUAACACCUGGAAACAGAUGCUAAUACCGGAUAACAACACUAGACGCAUGUCUAGAGUUUGAAAGAUGGUUCUGCUAUCACUCUUGGAUGGACCUGCGGUGCAUUAGCUAGUUGGUAAGGUAACGGCUCACCAAGGCGACGAUCAGUAGCCGACCUGAGAGGGUGAUCGGCCACAUUGGGACUGAGACACGGCCCAA